UACAGAGGGGGCAAGCGUUGUUCGGAAUUACUGGGCGUAAAGCGCGCGCAGGCGGUUCUUCAAGUCAGAGGUGAAAGCCCAGAGCUCAACUCUGGAAUGGCCUUUGAGACUAGAGAACUAGGGUACGGGAGAGGUGAGUGGAAUUCCGAGUGUAGAGGUGAAAUUCGUAGAUAUUCGGAAGAACACCAGUGGCGAAGGCGCUCACUGGCCCGUUACCGACGCUCAGGCGCGACAGCGUGGGGAGCAAACAGG
rnacentral:rRNA from 1 species